CCCUGAGAAACCUAAAAGAUCGAAUGGGGAGACUCAUCGUCAGCGCAUUUGGUAUAUAUGCAAGUUAUGAUAUAAAUUUAUACUUGUGAUAAUUUUUGUACGUACUUGUAUUAUUUUAUUGCUGAAUGUCGUCGGCGUGCACUUCUCCCCUAGUAGAACGUUGCGACCCGUUAAGUGUCGGUCUACGGCCCAGUUGGCAGUCUUCGAUACAUUUAUUGUGUUAAAGACCACUGGUGUAUCCUGAUCGUCUACUUGACGGUAUAUAAUAUGGUAUUGAGUCGCAAAUUAUAUUUGCGUUAAACCUACCACAAGCAUGAUUAAUUAUCUAAUAGUGCGGACUUAGCGCCGUCAUUGGAGUUAAUUUGCUGUUCGUUGGUGGUGAUCUUUAACUGGCUCUAUUAAUACCGGUCAGCAAUGCUACUGCUUUGGGUACUCUCAGGACCCGUCUUGAAACACGGACCAAGGAGUCUAGCAUGUACGCGAGUCAUUGGGAUAAAUUUUUUAAAUUAAACCUAAAGGCGUAAUGAAAAUAAAGGUUGACUUUAUGUCAACUAANGGAGGAUGAGUUAUAUUACGAUAUAAUUCCGCACUCCCGGGGUAUCUCAUUCACAUUAUGCGAAGAGGUGCACCCAG
rnacentral:rRNA from 1 species